rnacentral:lncRNA from 1 species
AUGCUGUUACUGGUUUCUCUGGGUCUGGUGGGAUUGGCUAUUCUCUUCAUCUACAAGUUCAAACGUAAAAUCCCAUGGAUCCAUGUGGAGACAGAGGACACCCAUGAGAAGGAGCCCGAGAUGAUCAGCGCUGUCGGACAGGAGAAGAAUGGCACGCGUACAUCAGCCACUGCAUUCACAACAUGCAGCGCACACACAACACACACACCAUUUCCCUCCAACACCGGAACACACAACAGCUUCAGCCAUCUGCCACCUCCAAGAGAACUGAUAGAGAAAGAGCUGGAGGCUCACAACACUGGUGAGAAAAGUCAUUAUCCCAUACACAAUAUUUAUGCUAGGUUUUCUUGUGUCGUUGUUGAAUCUGUCUGCUUAGUGAGUUUCUUAACAAGUCUUGUGGAAAAAUAAGUUUACUUUAGCAUAUUUUAAAAAGCAUGCUUUCUAUGGAAAUAAUUUACUUUCAAAGAAAAUACUUAAGUGCAAAAUUAAUGUAUUGGUUUUAAGUACUUUAUUGCAUGUUUUUUACAAUUAAGUGAAAAUCUAUUGUAGUGUAAAUUUAUAUUAAAUGCAGAUAGUUAAACUAGUUAAGAGUGCCUUUUCACAAAUUUAAUAAAGAUGAAGUUGCAAUUUAGUACAUUUAAAAUAUCUUAACUUUGAAUGUAAUAUCAAAUAACUACAGUAGAAUUAUAAUGAAGUACUUUACAUGUGUUUUACGUAUGUCAACACAUUAAAGUACAUCUUUAAAGCAUGACAGAAGAUUAAAACAAAAUUUAAAAUGUACUUGAUAAAACUUUUAAUUUGACAUUAUUACAAAGUGCACUUAAAAGUGUUAAGAAAGGUGUUGAUCAAUUAAGUACACUUUAGCAGUUUUUAUAUCAUUAUUAAAGGGUCAGUUCUCCCCAAAAAGAAAAUUCUGUCAUUAAUUACUCACCCUCAGGUCGUUCUGAACCAGCAAGACUACGAGAAUACUUUUUGUGUGCAAAGAAAACAAAAAUAAAAAUUUAUUUAACAAUUCUUCUUCCCACAUCACCUUCUUCCGCUAUUUUGGAGAGUUCCACGACACAUGCGCUAGGCUUUCCAAUGAAGGUUAACAAUGCUGAUUACGUUCAGGGGAAAGCACAUGCAUGCGUAUAACCCUAACCCUAAUCUUUAUGUUCAUAAAGAUGCAAUUUGCGCUCAAGGAGCAUGAAGAAAGAUGUGUUUGUUUUUGUGUGUAUCUGUUGUUUGUAAGCGUGAGGUCAGUGGAUGGACCCCAAUUCAUUCAUUGUACUUUUAUUACUCUGCUGUCAGAGAAGGUGAUUGUCUUCUGUGUGUCCCAGGACUUUCUGAUUCACAGUAAUCAAGGACUGAUCCCAUGACACUGAAGUGGAAAGCAUUGAUCACAGAGUUGCCCUUGCCUGUUGUUUGCAAUUACAGUGAUUUUCUGUUUUGUGUGUGUGUUGUGUGUGUGUGUGUGUGUGUGUGUGUGUGUGUGUGUGUGUGUGUGUGUGUGUGUGUGUGUGUGUGUGUGUAAGGAAGUGUCAUUGGAGGGCUCUUUACUAAUGGCUAUGACAUCAAAGGCUUGAGCCUGAAGAAGAACGGGGGGGAAGUGUGAGAAUAACACCUAAUAUACCCUCAAAACACAGAGAAACAGCCAAGUUUUAACUCAGAGAUGAGGUUAUCAUGCUUCAUCCAUAUGUUCAGGAUAUCAUAAACAUAAACCUUCCAGUUCACAUCACUUAUACCUUCUUUUGAGAAGUGCUUAAUUGUAUUGAAUGUGCACUUCAAAUCUUCAAAUAUAUUUUUUUACAUAACUAUACUUGCAUAUAAUAUAAUAUUAAAGAAGUAAAAGGCCAACUUAAAGAGAAACUUCCACGAGUAUGUCUCUUAACACACUUCAAGAUAUAUAUAUAUAUAAACAUUGCACUUUUUAAUUAGAAGUUUACAUGUAAAUGUUCUCUUCUCUUCUCUUGACAAACAUUCUCAACCUUUCGGACUCUCGUUGUCCACAACAAUAUUCAAAUGGUCCAUGACUUUUCCAGUUGGUCAUGAUUUAUAAAGAAUUUUAAUUUUAAUUUUUUAAAUAUUUGUACUCAAUUUAUACCCAAUGAAAUAUUUUAGAGUUUUUUUACUCAAUUUUUAUACACAAAAUAUUUUAGAACUUGGCAAAACUAGACACGUAUAUAAUUUUUUACUCAAUUUAUUCCCAAUAAAAUGUUUUAGAAUAUUUUAUGUUCUUUUAAAGCGUGUUAUUUCUGUAAUUAUUACUCUAUUUAGUCCAGUACUUCUUCAAAAGGGCCUGGUCAUUAGGGCCUUUCAUAGUACCAGAACUAAUUGAGGAACUACCCACUUUUGGGCGUUUUCGCACCGCAGGAACUGGGUGCGAUUUUAGUCCUGGACUGCCUUUUUCGAGAACCAAAUUAGCUCCUACUCCGGAGCAGGGUCUAACCAGCACUACUGGUACUACCCGUGACGUAAGCAGACAUUGAUUGGCCAGACGCGUUCGAAAACGCUGUGUAACAUACUGUAAACAUUGUGUCAACUUAUUUUGCAAGUAUGACGAACAGCGAUAAAUAUACAGACGCUGAAGUGCAGGCACAUGUAACAAAUGUAGCACUGCCAGUUGUCGUUGAAGACUCUUAGUCCUCCUUUCCAUUCUUACAAUCGCUUUACGCUUUAGUACUGUACUUUUAUUUCUGGAACUAAAGCAGUGCGAAAGGCCCUAUUGAUCACACUAGUACUUCAGAUACCUAGUCAAGACAAAAGCUCUUGAUCAAUACUUCUGCAACUGUCUAACAGUCAACCAAACAGCAUUCAACAACCAGCAUGGCACUGGAUUUUAUCCAUGGGGAAAUAAUCAGAUGGUCAAAAGAUCCAUUACAUAAAAAUUAUGUUAACACUUUAGUUUAAGGACCAAUUCUCACUAUGAACUAGUUGCUUAUUACCAAUUCUCACUAUGUAACUAGUUGCUUAUUAGCAUGAAUAUUACUAGCAUAUUGGCUGUUUAUUAAUACUUAUAAAGCACAUAUUAAUGCCUUAUUCUGCAUGAUCAUAUUUUAGAUCCCUUUACAUUACUAACUAUUAAUAAGCAGCAAAUUAGGAGUUUAUUGAGACAAAAGCCAUAGUUAAUAGUGAGAAUUGGACCUGAUAAAGUGUGAUCAAAAUCAAUAAAAAGUUACAUUAAUAACUUUCAUUUCAAGUCCAUAGAGGCGUCCUGGUACAAAAGUGUAUUUGUGCAUUGAUGGAAGAACAGUAGUGUCUGAUUUAUUAUACUAUGGUAAUGUAUGCAAACCUUAUGAACACACACACCGAUUAACGCGUAA